rnacentral:rRNA from 1 species
CCUACGUGUGGCAGCAGUGGGGAAUAUUGGGCAAUGGGCGCAAGCCUGACCCAGCAACGCCGCGUGAAGGAAGAAGGCUUUCGGGUUGUAAACUUCUUUUCUCAGGGACGAAGAAAGUGACGGUACCUGAGGAAUAAGCCACGGCUAACUACGUGCCAGCAGCCGUGGUAAUACGUAGGUGGCAAGCGUUAUCCGGAUUUACUGGGUGUAAAGGGCGUGUAGGCGGGACUGCAAGUCAGAUGUGAAAACCACGGGCUCAACCUGUGGCCUGCAUUUGAUACUGUAGUUCUUGAGUACUGGGGAGGCAGGCGGAAUUCGUAGUGUAGCGGUGAAAUGCGUAGAUAUUAGGAGGAACACCAGUUGCGAAGGCGGUCUGCUGAACAGCAACUGACGCUGAGGCGCGAAAGCGUGGGGAGCAAACAGGAUUAGAUACCCCAGUAGUC